UACGUAGGGGGCAAGCGUUGUCCGGAAUCAUUGGGCGUAAAGAGCGUGUAGGCGGCUUGGUAAGUCCGCUGUGAAAGUCCAGGGCUCAACCCUGGAAUGCCGGUGGAAACUGUCAAGCUUGAGUCCGGAAGAGGCGAGUGGAAUUCCUGGUGUAGCGGUGAAAUGCGCAGAUAUCAGGAGGAACACCAAUGGCGAAGGCAGCACUCUGGGACGGUACUGACGCUGAGACGCGAAAGCGUGGGGAGCGAACAGG
rnacentral:rRNA from 1 species